UGAGUACGAGAUGCUACGGCAUCGAAGCAGUCUAUGUCAUACUUCCAAGAAAAGCUUGCACUGUCAGAAACAGAUAAUGCCUGUACCAUAACCGACACAGGUGGGUAGGUAGAGUAUACUAAGGGGCGCGAGAUAACUCUCUCUAAGGAACUCGGCAAAAUGACUCCGUAACUUCGGGAGAAGGAGUGCCUUAUUUUUAAGGUUGCAAUAACAAGAUCCAAGCAACUGUUUACCAAAAACACAGGUCUCCGCUAAGUCGUAAGACGAUGUAUGGGGGCUGACGCCUGCCCAGUGCCAGAAGGUUAAAGAAGUCGGUUAGCAUUCGCGAAGCUGGUAACUGAAGCCCUGGUGAACGGCGGCCGUAACAAUAACGGUCCUAAGGUAGCGAAAUUCCUUGUCGGGUAAGUUCCGACCCGCACGAAAGGCGUAAUGAUUUGGAUACUGUCUCGGAGAGGGGCUCGGUGAAAUAGACUUGUCUGUGAAGAUGCGGACUACCUGCACCUGGACAGAAAGACCCUAUGAAGCUUUACUGUAACUUGAAAUUGAAAUUGGACUUUAUUUGCGCAGUAUAGGUGGGAGGCGUUGAAAAUAUUCUUGCGGGAAUAUUGGAGCCAUCAGUGAGAUACCACUCUUGUAAUGUUAGAUUUCUAACUUUAUAUCAUUAUCUGGUUAAAGAACAGUUUCAGGCGGGCAGUUUGACUGGGGCGGUCGCCUCCCAAAUGGUAACGGAGGCGCACAAAGGUUUCCUCUGAACGGGUAGAAAUCGUAUCUAGAGUGUAAAGGCAUAAGGAAGCUUGACUGUGAGACCUACAAGUCGAGCAGGGACGAAAGUCGGUCUUAGUGAUCUGACGGUGCUGAGUGGAAAGGCCGUCAAUCAACGGAUAAAAGUUACUCUAGGAUAACAGGCUGAUCUCCCCCAAGAGUUCACAUCGACGGGGAGGUUUGGCACCUCGAUGUCGGCUCAUCGCAUCCUGGGGCGGUAGUACGUCCCAAGGGUUGGGCUGUUCGCCCAUGAAAGCGGUACGCGAGCUGGGUUCAGAACGUCGUGAGACAGUUCGGUCCAUAUCCGGUGUAGGCGUUAGAAUAUUGAGAGGAGCCUUCUUUAGUACGAGAGGACCGAGAAGGACAUACCUCUGGUGUACCAGUUAUCGUGCCAACGGUAAACGCUGGGUAGCUAUGUAUGGAGUGGAUAACCGCUGAAAGCAUCUAAGUGGGAAGCCCACCUCAAGAUAAG
rnacentral:rRNA from 1 species